rnacentral:rRNA from 1 species
UACGUAGGGUGCGAGCGUUAAUCGGAAUUACUGGGCGUAAAGCGUGCGCAGGCGGUUUCACAAGCUCGAUGUGAAAGCCCCGGGCUUAACCUGGGAAUGGCAUUGAGGACUGUGGAGCUCGAGUGCGGCAGAGGGAGGUGGAAUUCCACGUGUAGCAGUGAAAUGCGUAGAGAUGUGGAGGAACGCCGAUGGCGAAGGCAGCCUCCUGGGCCGACACUGACGCUCAUGCACGAAAGCGUGGGGAGCAAACAGG